rnacentral:rRNA from 1 species
UCUUACCAUUCCGAACAGAGAAGUUAAGCCCAUUAGCGCCGAUGGUACUGCAUUUGUGGGAGAGUAGGUCGUUGCCUUUU